rnacentral:rRNA from 1 species
AUGACGCAGACUCCCGGCGCCCACGCCGCCCCGGCCGCGCCGGCGCCUCCACCCCCCGCCGAGGGCGCCGGGCUGUCCGAGGCCAUCGUGGCCGCGCUGCCGCCGGACCCGUACGACCAGCUGGAGGUGGCCCGCAAGAUCACCGCCGUGGCCGUGGCCGCGCGCGCCUCCCGCCUGGAGCACGAGGCCGCGCGCCUCCGCCAGAAGCUGGCCGACAAGGACCGCCUCGCCGCGGAGCUCGCCGACAGGGCCGGCGCGCUCGACCAGGCCCUCCACGACGCCGACGCCCGCCUCCGCGUCGUCCUCGAAGACAACGCUAAGCUGGUGAAGGAGAGGGACUCGCUCGUCCAGACGUCCAGGAAGCUGGCCAGGGACCUCGCCAAGCUGGAGACAUUCAAGAGGCACCUGAUGCAGUCACUGGGGGACGAUAAUUCUUCAAGUCAGGAGACAGUCGACAUCAGAACAUGUGAGCAGUCGGUCGCCAAAGCAAGUUCCUGGAGAGACGACGCGUCCGCGAGCAAUAAUCCUGCUCCUGCAUCCACCACACGAGCCGACGGAUCUUCCGAAGCCGAAAGCGUAAACCAGGAAGUGGCAAGGCCGUUCGAGCAGAAGCUCACCAUCACGCACAUGACCCCGCGCCUCAUGGCCGACCCGUCGCCGAAGCAGAGGUCCUCCUCCGCGGCCUCCACCAGGAGAUACUCCACCGCCGUGUCCCCGAAGCUGGCGUCCCGCGCCUCGUCCCCUAGACGGUACUCCACGGCCGUGUCGCCGAAGCUGUCGUCCGGCAGCAGCGGCGCCGGCACCGCCAGUUCCCCGCGGCUCGAAGGCCACAUGGCGAUGUCGGCGUGGCUCCCCUCCAGCAAGAUGUCCUCUGCGGCCAAUUCACCCCCUCGUGGGCACUCAGUCUCAGGACGCACGACAAGGAUAGAUGGCAAGGAGUUCUUCCGUCAAGCAAGGAGCCGUCUGUCAUACGAACAGUUUGCUGCUUUCCUCGCCAACAUCAAGGAGCUGAACGCUCACAGGCAAUCCCAAGAGGAGACCCUCGAGAAGGCGGACCAGAUCUUCGGCGCAGAAAACAAGGACCUCCUCCUCUCAUUUCAGGGCCUACUUAGCCGCAGCCUCACGUAA